rnacentral:tRNA from 26 species
GCCAGUAUGAUGGAAUUGGUAGACAUGACGGAUUCAAAAUCCGUUGCCUUCGGGCGUGGCGGUUCAAGUCCGCCUACUGGUACCA